GCCCCAGUAACGGCGAGUGAAGCGGCAACAGCUCAAAUUUGAAAUCUGGCCCCCGGGUCCGAGUUGUAAUUUGCAGAGGAUGCUUCGGGCGAGGUGCCUUCCGAGUUCCCUGGAACGGGACGCCACAGAGGGUGAGAGCCCCGUCUGGUCGGACACCGAGCCCGUGUGAAGCUCCUUCGAAGAGUCGAGUAGUUUGGGAAUNNNNNNNNNNNNNNNNNNNNNNNNNNNNNNNNNNNCUAAUAUUGGCCAGAGACCGAUAGCGCACAAGUAGAGUGAUCGAAAGAUGAAAAGCACUUUGAAAAGAGGGUUAAAAAGUACGUGAAAUUGUUGAAAGGGAAGCGCCCAUGACCAGACUUGGGCCCGGUGAAUCACCCGGCGUUCUCGCCGGUGCACUUUGCCGGGCACAGGCCAGCAUCAGUUUGGCGCGGGGAGAAAGGCUUCGGGAACGUGGCUCCCUCGGGAGUGUUAUAGCCCGCUGCGCAAUACCCUGCGCCGGACUGAGGUACGCGCAUCGCAAGGAUGCUGGCGUAAUGGUCAUCAGCGACCCGUCUUGAAACACGGACCAAGGAGUCGUCUUCGUAUGCGAGUGUUCGGGUGUCAAACCCCUACGCGGAAUGAAAGUGAACGCAGGUGAGAGCUUCGGCGCAUCAUCGACCGAUCCUGAUGUUCUCGGAUGGAUUUGAGUAAGAGCAUACGGGGCCGGACCCGAAAGAAGGUGAACUAUGCCUGUAUAGGGUGAAGCCAGAGGAAACUCUGGUGGAAGCUCGCAGCGGUUCUGACGUGCGAAUCGAUCGUCAAAUAUGGGCAUGGGGGCGAAAGACUAAUCGAACCUUCUAGUAGCUGGUUUCCGCCGAAGUUUCCCUCAGGAUAGCAGUGUUGGACUCAGUUUUAUGAGGUAAAGCGAAUGAUUAGGGACUCGGGGGCGCUAUAUUGCCUUCAUCCAUUCUCAAACUUUAAAUAUGUAAGAAGCCCUUGUUACUUAACUGAACGUGGGCCUUCGAAUGUAGCAACACUAGUGGGCCAUUUUUGGUAAGCAGAACUGGCGAUGCGGGAUGAACCGAACGCGAGGUUAAGGUGCCGGAGUGGACGCUCAUCAGACACCACAAAAGGUGUUAGUACAUCUUGACAGCAGGACGGUGGCCAUGGAAGUCGGAAUCCGCUAAGGACUGUGUAACAACUCACCUGCCGAAUGUACUAGCCCUGAAAAUGGAUGGCGCUCAA
rnacentral:rRNA from 1 species